rnacentral:ncRNA from 1 species
UUUCUAGAAAGCAGUUUAGACUAGAAGGAGAAUGGUCUUUACCUACGCUUGUGAAAAAAAAUAAUGGUGGCUGAGUGGGCCACUUUUGGUAAGCAUAACUGGCGCUGCGGGAUGAACCGAACGCCGGGUUAAGGCGCCCGAUGCCGACGCUCAUCAGAGCCCAGAGAAGGUGUUGGUUGAUCUAGACAGCAGGACAGUGGCCAUGGAAGUCGGAAUCCGCUAAGGAGUGUGCAACAACUCAACUGCCGA